rnacentral:rRNA from 1 species
GCGUUACUCGGAAUUACUGGGCGUAAAGCGCGCGUAGGCGGUUGGACAAGUCGAGUGUGAAAUCCCCGGGCUCAACCUGGGAGCUGCAUUCGAAACUGUUCGGCUAGAGUAUGGGAGAGGGAAGUGGAAUUUCAGGUGUAGCGGUGAAAUGCGUAGAUAUCUGAAGGAACAUCAGUGGCGAAAGCGACUUCCUGGACCAAUACUGACGCUCAGGUGCGAAAGCGUG